UUUCUCCCUCAGCAGGCAGACAGAAAUCUGUGUGUUUUAGACAGGAGUAUCAAUAACAAUCUUUGAGCCUCAACGCCAUGUUGUUGCUGUUUUUGGAAAAAUAAAGAAAAACUCCAACCCCCGGCAGAAGCGGUGAGAUGAAUGAAGCCCAGCAUGGAGUGCUGAGUAAAAGAGUGAAAUUAAUUCCAGCAGAAGAGAUCAGUGUCUUCAGGAAUCAGCAGUGAGUCCAUGAGCUGUGUGUCCAUACACUAAUAUUCAAAAAUGGAGAGCUGUGAUCUGGAAAAGAUAAUGUGACCCCACCCUCAGAAAAGCGGAGUGAAAUUAAUUCUAGCAGAAGAGAUCAGUGUCUUCAGGAAUCAGCAGUGAGUCCAUGAGCUGUGUGUCCAUACACUAAUAUUCAAAAAUGGAGAGCUGUGAUCUGGAAAAGAUAAUGUGACCCCACCCUCAGAAAAGCGGAGUGAAAUUAAUUCCAGCAGAAGAGAUCAGUGUCUUCAGGAAUCAGCAGUGAGUCCAUGAGCUGUGUGUCCAUACACUAAUAUUCAAAAAUGGAGAGCUGUGAUCUGGACACAGAUAAUGUGACCCCACCCUCAGAAAAGCGUGAACUGCAGAGAAAGAGAUCAGACUCACCAGAACCCAGCUGUGUCUCCAUGAAGAGUGAUGCAUCUAUGCAUCAACCUUUCAGCUUAAGAAGUGGAGACCCCUCACCUGUACACAGUGAACUGCAGAGAAAGAGAUCAGACUCACCAGAACCCAGCUGUGUCUCCAUGAAGAGUGAUGCAUCUAUGCAUCAACCUUUCAGCUUAAGAAGUGGAGACCCCUCACCUGUACACAGUGAACUGCAGAGAAAGAGAUCAGACUCUCCAGAACCCAGCUGGGUCUCCAUGAAGAGUGAUGCAUCUAUGCAUCAACCUUUCAGCUUAAGAAGUGGAGACCCCUCACCUGUACACAGUGAACUGCAGAGAAAGAGAUCAGACUCACCAGAACCCAGCUGUGUCUCCAUGAAGAGUGAUGCAUCUAUGCAUCAACCUUUCAGCUUAAGAAGUGGAGACCCCUCACCUGUACACAGUGUUUUACAGAAGGCAGGAGACAGAAGAGAAAAGACCUUCAUCACAGAUACAGGACACGCCCCAGAAUCUCCUGCUGUAAAUGAAUUCCAGAAAAAGUCCAGAUUAAAUCUGAUGAAGAAGUUUCAGUGUUUAAAUGGAGUGAUAAUAAAGCAGGAAAACCGAGUGCUCCUGAAUGAGAUCUACACAGAGAUCCACAUCACAGAGGGAGACAGUGGAGACGUCAAUAAAGAACAUGAGGUGAGACAGAUAGAGGCAGCGUCCAGGAGAAAAACAACAGAGGAAACACCAAUCAAAUGUAACGACAUCUUUAAGCCCUUAUCUGAAGAAGACGAACCCAUCAGAACUGUAGUGACAAAGGGAGUGGCUGGUAUCGGAAAAACAGUCUCUGUGCAGAAGUUCAUUGUGGACUGGGCUGAAGGGAAAGCAAAUCAGGACGUCCCCCUCAUAUUUCCACUUCCUUUCAGAGAGCUGAAUCUGAUGAAGGACCAAAAACUGAGUCUGAUGGAGCUCCUUCAUGUCUGUUUUAAGGAAACAAAAGAAACAGAAAUGUCCAGGUUGGAAAAGGUUCUGUUCAUUUUUGAUGGAUUGGACGAGUGUCGUUUCCCUCUGGAUUUCCAGAACACAGUGAGAGUGUGUGAUGUAACUGAAUCAGCAUCAGUGCAUGUGCUGCUGAUAAACCUGAUCAAAGGGAAUCUGCUUCCCUCUGCUCUCAUCUGGAUCACCUCCCGACCAGCAGCAGCUGAUCAAAUCCCCUCUGAGUAUGUCCAUCGAGUCACAGAGGUACAAGGGUUCAAUGACCCACAGAAGGAGGAGUACUUCAGGAAGAGGGUCAGUGAUCAGAGCCUGGCCGAGAACAUCAUCACACACCUGAAGUCAUUAAGAAGCCUCUACAUCAUGUGUCACAUCCCAGUCUUCUGCUGGAUUUCAGCCGCUGUUCUAGAGAGAAUGUUGGGUGAAGCAGAGAGUGGAGAGAUCCCCAAGACUCUGACUCAAAUGUACACACACUUCCUCAUCAUUCAGACAAAUAUCAUCAGAGGAAAGUACUCAAAGAAGCAGGAGAGUGAUGAGGAAAUGCUUCUCAAACUGGGACAACUGGCUUUUCAGCAGCUGGAGAAAGGCAACUUGAUCUUCUAUGAGGAAGACCUGAGAGAGUGUGGCAUUGAUGUGACAGAAGCAGCAGUGUACUCAGGUGUGUGUACGCAGAUCUUCAGAGAGGAACCUGGGCUUCACCAGAGUAAAGUGUAUUGCUUUGUUCAUCUGAGCAUUCAGGAGCAUCUUGCAGCUCUGUAUGUGCAUCUGACCUUCAUGAAGGAAAAGAGAAAUGUUCUUGAUCAGAGUCGGCCCUUUAAGACAAUUUCAGAUGUACACACGAGUGCUGUAGAUCAGACCUUAUACAGUCAGACUGGACAUCUGGAUCUGUUCCUCCGCUUUCUUCUGGGUCUCUCACUGGAGUCCAAUCAGAAACUCUUACAUGCCUUAGUAACACAGACAGGAAGUAGCUCCCAGAGCAACAAGGAAACAGUUCGGUACAUGAAGGAGAAGAUCAGUGGAGAUCUUCCUGCAGAAAAAUCCAUCAAUCUGUUCCACUGUCUGAAUGAACUGGGUGACGAUUCUCUCGUGGACGAAAUCCAAUGCUACCUGAAAUCUGGAAAACAAAGUGAACUCUCUCCUUCACAGUGGUCUGCUCUGGCGUUUGUGUUACUGACUUCAGCACAGGAGCUGGAGGAGUUUGACCUAAGUAAAUAUACCAGUACAGAGAAGAUACCAGAUGAGGUUCUUGUGAAGGUGAUGCCUGUGAUUGCAGCAUCCAGAAAAGCCGUGAUCAGGUGUGAUACAAUUAAAGGGAGCAGCGCUGAAGCUCUGGUCUCAGUGCUCAACUCAGAAACCUCCAGUCUGAGAGAACUGCAUCUGACUGUGAAGACACUGGAUCUGACUGGGAAUAAACUAGAAGACUCAGGAGUGAAGCGUCUCUGUGCUGUACUGGAGAAUCCUCACUGUGAAGUGGAGACACUGAGGUUGUGGGGUUGUGGUGUCUCAGAUGAAGGCUGUGCUGCUCUGAGUUCAGCUCUGAGAUCAAACCCCUCACACCUGAGAGAACUGAAUCUGUCCUCUAAUAAUCUGGGAGACUCAGGAGUGAAGCGUCUCUGUGCUGUACUGGAGAAUCCUCACUGUAAACUGGAGACACUGGGGUUGUGGGGUUGUGGUGUCUCAGAUGAAGGCUGUGCUGCUCUGAGUUCAGCUCUGAGAUCAAACCCCUCACACCUGAGAGAACUGGAUCUGUCUAAUAAUAAUCUGGGAGACUCAGGAGUGAAGCGUCUCUGUGCUGUACUGGAGAAUCCUCACUGUAAACUGGAGAAACUGAGGUUGUGGGGUUGUGGUGUCUCAGAUGAAGGUUGUGCUGCUCUGAGUUCAGCUCUGAGAUCAAACCCCUCACACCUGAGAUACCUGAAUCUGUCCAAUAAUAAUCUGGGAGACUCAGGAGUGAAGCGUCUCUGUGCUGUACUGGAGAAUCCUCACUGUAAACUGGAGACACUGAGGUUGUGUGGUUGUGGUGUCUCAGAUGAAGGCUGUGCUGCUCUGAGUUCAGCUCUGAGAUCAAACUCCUCACACCUGAGACACCUGGAUCUGUCCUAUAAUAAUAAUCUUGGAGACUCAGGAGUGAAGCGUCUCUGUGCUGUACUGGAGAAUCCUCACUGUAAACUGGAGACACUGUGGUUGGAUGGUUGUGGUGUCUCAGAUGAAGGCUGUGCUGCUCUGAGUUCAGCUCUGAGAUCAAACCCCUCACACCUGAGACAACUGGAUCUGUCUAAUAAUAAUCUUGGAGACUCAGGAGUGAAGCGUCUCUGUGCUGGACUGGAGAAUCCUCACUGUAAACUGGAGAUACUGGGGUUGUGUGGUUGUGGUGUCUCAGAUGAAGGCUGUGCUGCUCUGAGUUCAGCUCUGAGAUCAAACCCCUCACACCUGAGAGACCUGAAUCUGAAUAAUAAUAAUCUGGGAGACUCAGGAGUGAAGCGUCUCUGUGCUGGACUGGAGAAUCCUCACUGUAAACUGGAGACACUGAGGUUGAAUGAUUGUGGUGUCUCAGAUGAAGGCUGUGCUGCUCUGAGUUCAGCUCUGAGAUCAAACCCCUCACACCUGAGACACCUGGAUCUGAUUGGAAAUAAAAUAGGAGACUCAGGAAAGAAGCUGCUCCCUUCUCUUUAGGACGAUAAACAUUACAAACUGCAGACACUCAAAACGCAAUGCAUUGUGGGAGAGACUGUCUUCAGAGGGAACGCAGCCGCCGCUUGCUCGCUCUCUGCUGUCUGAGUGAGUUGGAGUACUGCACUUCUGUGCUAUCAGAGCGGUCAAGAUUACCAGCCAACUUGUGAUGUCUUAAUAGGCUAGGAUCUACAUCUCGUAAAUCAGGGGCGAUUCUAGCAUCUGAUCUUUGGGGGUGCUUAGCCCCCAGAGCUGACAGAGACACCUGGCUUGAACGACAGUGUUUCCACGUUUAUUCCGCAUUUAGACUAGACUUAACUAGACAAGAAGACUAGACUAGACAAGACUAGACUUAUGCAAUGUUUUAACAGAAGCUGACCCAAUAAACUAUGAUAUCUACACAUUUACAGCCACUGACACAAAUAUUUACAUUAUAUUUUUAACUAAACAAGACCUACUACUGCAUUUGUAAUGUUGGAGCUAUUCAUUUUGAACAGUGGUAAUUGUUAAUUAAUGUGUUAUUGUGUAUUGUGUAAUAAUAGUGUGUAUUAUUAUGAUUUUACAUUAGUUUACAUUAGUUUAUAUUUUUUGUUAUAUUUGUUAUAUUUUGGUAGUGUUCUUUUGAAAACGUAGGCUAUAUCCAAACCACACUCACUGUCCCCCCAGACAAUGACCAGGGUUUGGAUUUGUGAAUGAUAAGCAAACGUAAACGCUAUGUUACAUUAAGUAAAACUGAGUAACACACGGUGGUCUAGCACCGUAGCACUUGUACAGCUCUGCACAAAAGUAUCUCGAUAUGGAUGAUAAAUGUCGUUUUUAUCAUUCUAUUCAUAGACCAGGGAACAUCAAUAUUGCAUUAUGCAUAUUAUUGUGUUGUGUUUAACAAUUGUAAUUCCAGUCCGUACCUUCACAUCUCGCUAUGCCAGUAAUACUCAGGUGCUACUUCGAGUUCCUCAUCGGCGUGGAAUCCAGUAAAAAAAAAAACCCACCAUGUCGUAGCAAGCACUCGCGCAGACAGGCAACCCAAUCAGAGGGGACGCAAGGAGGAGAGGUAUUUUACUGCUCAUAGAACUAUCACGUAACAGGUGAAUUCAAGAACACACACACGCCCGCGCACACAUUCAUUGCGCAGUGCGCAAGGGCGCUUAUUUCUGAAAAUUACAUCCAAAAGCAGUGUUUUUGAGGGUGCUGAGCUAGGAGGUGCUGAGCUCGUUUUUGGGGGUGCUUGAGCACCCCCAAAAAUAGGCUAAACACGCCCCUGUCGUAAAUGUAGGGUAUCGGAUUUCUAUAGACUUACAACAUACGUUAUAGUUUUGUCUACAUUAUCAUGACUCUGUUGUCCUGUUUCGCUUUUACUUAAUUUUUAGCGUCCACAAUCCGUUUGGCCGCCCAAGUUGCUAGCUAAGUUAGCUCAGCAAGGCUCAUGUUGGUAACUGAACAGACGGUUAAUAGCUAUAUUGCCGUUAACGAGAAUAUAGCUAUUAACCGUCUAUUCAGUUAAAAUCAAGUUGGACUUGCCACAGUCCCAUUUGCCUGCCACCAUGCUGACCUGUAGCAUAUGUGGUUUUAAGUCUGUGUCAUCCACGGAAUAUGUCAGUCACUGCAGAACACACAGACACCUGAACAACGUGCGUAUGUCGUGUGCGCUUAGAGAUUGUGGUAGGAGAUUUUCUUCUUUCAACAGCCUCGCUGUUCACAUGUCACGAACCCAUCCUGAGAGAAGUGUUAGGCAAACUUGGAACCGCAGUGUGUCUGUGCCUUUAAAGUGUUCAUUCAAUUAUUGCACGAGAGAAUAUGUAGAGCUUAAACAGCUGGUGUCUCACUUAAAUGACCACAUCCAAGAAGGUCUCCAUGUUGUGUGCCCGUUUGAUGGCUGUGGUCGUACUUUUAAUGUGAAGACCUCUCUCUCAUCCCAUAUUUCCAGGAUUCAUCGUGGGUGGAACAUGACCCAAAUAUCUUCCAUUUAUUUAUCAGAUGUACAGGCUCGUCUUACAGACAGCACACCAGAGGUCAGUACAUAUGUGAGUACAGAUCCCGACACUGAUGUACACAGUCAGGUAUGUCAGGGUAAUACAGACAAUGACAAAAAUGCACAAGAUAGGUUCAUUGAAAAUCUGGCCCUGUUUUGUUUAGGUUUACAGACUAAAUACUUAGUUCCAGCCUCUACCAUUUCAGAAAUUGUCAAUGAAAUGAAAACACUGCAGGAUGUGCAGCAGGAAUUCACAAUGGGAGUUUUGGGCCUAAAAUUGGAACAGUAUGGUGUCCAACGUGAAACCUUACUAAGUCUGGGACAGAGCGUAUACAAACAGAGCCCUUUGCAUGCAGCCUUAUGUGCCAGUGGGCCUUUAACAACACACCACCGCAGGCUGCAAUACUUUAAGUCUCACUUUAAUUAUGUUCACCCUGUGGAAGUGACACUGGGGUACAAUGACAGUGGGAAGAGGCGACACUACCAUUAUGUUCCUUUACUUGACAGUCUCAGGGCAAUGUUGAAAAAGCUGAUGCACAGUGGUGACCUUGCUGAACAUGGUAGGCCUAUACAUGUAUUUCGUGAUUUUACUGAUGGGCAUGUUGUUAGGUCAAAUGAGAUGUUUGCCACAGACCCAGACAGUUUAAAGGUGAUGCUUUUUCAGGGUGCUUUUGAAGUAGCUAACCCUCUUGGAUCUGCCAAGCAAAAGCACAAAAUUUUAGCUGUGUAUUUCACUCUUGGUAAUUUACAUCCACAUCUGAGAUCAACAGUUGAUCAGAUUCAAUUAGUACUGCUUUGUUCAGAGAAAGACUGUAAAUAUUUUGGCGUGGACAAGGUUUUCAGGGAGCUUGUGUCAGAUUUGGGUGAAUUGGAGGAAAAGGGCAUCUCCUUUGAGGAUAAGACAUUGAAAGGCACUGUUGCAUGCAUUAUGGGAGAUAAUCUGGGUUCCCACAUGAUUGGAGGGUUCACAGAAAAUUUUAGUUGUGCUGAGUAUUUCUGUAGGUACUGUCUUGUCACAAGACCCGCGUUUUUGGCCAAUCCUCUCACAGUUUUCACUCCAAGAGAUCCUACUGAGUAUAAUGACUCUGUGCAGUUUCUGGGGAGUCACCCGGAUGUGACCACACAUCAGGGCAUUAAAGGCAACAGUGUGUUUAACAAACUGUCACAUUUUCAUGUCUGUCAGCCUGGACUGCUGCCCUGUUUAGCGCAUGAUUUGUUCGAGGGUGUUGUGGACUAUGAUCUGGCAAUGUAUUUGCAGUACUUAAUUAAGAACGAGAAGUGGUUUAGUUACAAGUUAUUAAAUGAAAGACUCACUUCAUUUCCAGGUGAAAGCAGUAACAAGCCAAAUGCUAUUCCAA